rnacentral:rRNA from 1 species
AUUGAACGCUGGCGGCAGGCCUAACACAUGCAAGUCGAGCGAGCGGCGGACGGGUGAGUAAUGUAUGGGGCUCUGUCCGAUAGAGGGGGAUAACUACUGGAAACGGUGGCUAAUACCGCAUACUAUCGGAUGAACCCACAUGGGAUUAGCUAGUAGGUGGGGUAAAGGCUCACCUAGGCGACGAUCUCUAGCUGGUCUGAGAGGAUGAGCCGCCACACUGGGACUGAGACACGACCCAGACGCCGACGGGUGGGAGCAGUGGGGAAUAUUUCGGUAUGGGCGCAAGCCUGAUGCAGCCAUGCCGCGUGUAUGAAGAAGGCCUUAGGGUUGUAAAGUACUUUCGGCGGAGAGGCGUUACCCGCAGAUGAAGCACCGGCUAACUCCGUGCCAGCAGCCGCGGUAAUUC